GCCGGGUAUGGUGCAGCGGCGUCGCGGCGCGAUCCUCAACGUCGCGUCCACCGGGGCGUUCCAGCCGCUGCCCGGGC
rnacentral:tRNA from 1 species